UACGGAGGGUGCAAGCGUUGUUCGGAAUCACUGGGCGUAAAGGGCGUGUAGGCGGUCCGCUAAGUCUGAUGUGAAAGCCCGGGGCUCACCCCCGGAAGGGCAUUGGAAACUGGCGGACUCGAGUCCCGGAGAGGAGGGUGGAAUUCCUGGUGUAGCGGUGAAAUGCGCAGAUAUCAGGAGGAACACCAAUGGCGAAGGCAGCUCACUGGGACGGUAUUGACGCUGAGACGCGAAAGCGUGGGGAGCAAACAGG
rnacentral:rRNA from 1 species